AUCCAUCUGACGAGUCCCAAAUGGGACGAAACGCACGACUUGGAC
rfam:Schistosoma mansoni, Puerto Rico, WGS project CABG01000000 data, contig: 0177